GAUGAAGAACGUAGCGAAAUGCGAUACGUAGUGUGAAUUGCAGAAUUCCGUGAACCAUAAAAUCUUUGAACGCAUAUUGCGCUCGAGGCUUCGGCCGAGAGCAUGUCUGCCUCAGCGUCGGUAUUACCCCUCGCUUCUCAACCCCUGGUUGAUGCCUGCCUGCCUUUGCAGUUGGCUAGAAGCGGAUCUGGCUUUCCCAAUUGCCUUUGGUAGUUGGGUCAGCUGAAGCACAGAGGCUUGAGCAAGGACCCUUAUUGGGCUUCAACUGGAUAGGUAGAACUGGUCUUAGGACCAACUACACGAAGUUGUUGCUUGUGGUCUUUUGUCUGGAGGCCAGCAGGAAACCUUUAUACCUUCGACCUAAGCUCAGGCAAGAUUACCCGCUGAACUUAAGCAUAUCAAUAAGCGGAGGA
rnacentral:misc_RNA from 1 species